rnacentral:lncRNA from 1 species
CAGGUCUCACAGGCGAAUGACUGCAAGGUGAAAAAAGGAGCUGAUAUCCUGUGAGCUACACUGCAAAACAGAGCCUAUUACAGAACUCACAUGACUUGAAGAGUCUAGGCUGCUGCAUCCCUGAAACAGCCUUGUUCAGCAGACAAGAGUGUGUGUGUGAGAGAGAGCGAGAGAGAGAGAGAGAAAGAGAGCGUGCGAGAGAGAGAGUGAACAAGGAUGGAUCCAGACGCCCACUUCGCUGCAAUGGGCCAGGAAACAGCUAUUACGUAACAGCAU